rnacentral:rRNA from 1 species
UACGAAGGGGAUUAGCGUUGUUCGGAAUUACUGGGCGUAAAGCGCACGUAGGCGGAUUUGUUAGUCAGGGGUGAAAUCCCGGGGCUCAACCUCGGAACUGCCUUUGAUACUGCAAAUCUCGAGUCCGAUAGAGGUGGGUGGAAUUCCUAGUGUAGAGGUGAAAUUCGUAGAUAUUAGGAAGAACACCGGUGGCGAAGGCGGCCCACUGGAUCGGUACUGACGCUGAGGUGCGAAAGCGUGGGGAGCAAACAGG